AUGAUGUGUAGCCGGGCUGAGAGGUUGAACGGCCACAUUGGGACUGAGACACGGCCCAAACUCCUACGGGAGGCAGCAGUAGGGAAUUUUCGGCAAUGGAGGAAACUCUGACCGAGCAACGCCGCGUGAACGAUGAAGUAUUUCGGUACGUAAAGUUCUUUUAUUAGGGAAGAAUAAAUGAUGGAAAAAUCAUUCUGACGGUACCUAAUGAAUAAGCCCCGGCUAACUAUGUGCCAGCAGCCGCGGUAAUACAUAGGGGGCAAGCGUUAUCCGGAAUUAUUGGGCGUAAAGGGUGCGUAGGCGGUUAAAUAAGUUUAUGGUCUAAGUGCAAUGCUCAACAUUGUGAUGCUAUAAAAACUGUUUAGCUAGAGUAAGAUAGAGGCAAGUGGAAUUCCAUGUGUAGUGGUAAAAUGCGUAAAUAUAUGGAGGAACACCAGUAGCGAAGGCGGCUUGCUGGGUCUUUACUGACGCUGAGGCACGAAAGCGUGGGGAGCAAACAGGAUUAGAUACCCUGGUAGUCCACGCCGUAAACGAUGAGUACUAAACGUUGGGUAAAACCAGUGUUGAAGUUAACACAUUAAGUACUCCGCCUGAGUAGUACGUACGCAAGUAUGAAACUUAAAGGAAUUGACGGGACUCCGCACAAGCGGUGGAUCAUGUUGUUUAAUUCGAAGGUACCCGAAAAACCUCACCAGGUCUUGACAUGCUUCUGCAAAGCUGUAGAAACACAGUGGAGGUUAUCAGUUGCACAGGUGGUGCAUGGUUGUCGUCAGCUCGUGUCGUGAGAUGUUGGGUUAAGUCCCGCAACGAGCGCAACCCUUAUUGUUAGUUACCAGCACGUAAUGGUGGGGACUUUAGCAAGACUGCCAGUGAUAAAUUGGAGGAAGGUGGGGACGACGUCAAAUCAUCAUGCCCCUUAUGACCUGGGCUACAAACGUGAUACAAUGGCUGUUACAAAGGGUAGCUGAAGCGCAAGUUUUUGGCGAAUCUCAAAAAAACAGUCUCAGUUCGGAUUGAAGUCUGCAACUCGACUUCAUGAAGUUGGAAUCGCUAGUAAUCGCGAAUCAGCAUGUCGCGGUGAAUACGUUCUCGGGGUUUGUACACACCGCCCGUCAAACCACGAAAGUUGGUAAUACCCAAAGCCGGUGGCCUAACUUCGCAAGAAGAGGGAACCGUCUAAGGUAGGGUCGAUGAUUGGGGUUAAGUCGUAACAAGGUAUCCCUACCGGAAGGUGGGGAUGGAUCACCUCCUUUCUAAGGAAACAAUUAUCAUCUUCA
rnacentral:rRNA from 1 species